AUUAAAGCUGCUUGGUCCGAUUUAUUUGUUAUUACAGUAUCACAAUUUUUUCCAUACAAACCAUUUAUCUUAGAAAGUUAUGGACUUUCUCCUGUUUACACCAGGAGAAUCAGUCUCCUUUCAAAGUUAGAAAUAUUCAAAGUAAAUAAAAUAAUUUCUUGUUGGGCAAACGAAAAAACAAACCAAAAUGCAUCAAGGGAAUGUUUAGAAAAAGAAACCGUUUGGUUUCGCCCCCCGAAUGAUUGGGAUCAUUCAACACGCAUACUAUGCAUCGAUUGUAAAGAAAACAAACUUCAGAAAUAUAAGGGAACAAAACGUACGCAUGUUUAUUUCUAAUUUGUCUGAUCGUUUCGACCUUUAUUUAAAGCGAUGACAAAGUCGUAAUACAACCAUACCCGUCUCGUCGUCAGGGGUGAAAUUUAACAUGAGGCGAAAUAACGCGGUACCCUUUUAUGUCGUUUGUUUUGUUAGCAAAUUUUGUACGUAAUUUUCUUCAUUGAAAUUUGGCUUAAUUGACUGGGAAAACUACUGCAAUGUCUAUUAUUAUACAUAUACUUAGCAUACCCAUCGUUUAAAAGCGUGCAUAAAAUUUUAUAUAAAAUCGGACCAAGCAGCUUUAAUCUAGAGAGUGAGGAUUAAGCGUUAUACAUGUAAGCGAGCUUUCAACUUCAUUCAACUUUAUUCUUAAAAGAAGCACUGUUAUUCCUAAUUCAGGAGACGCUGAUAAACCUCCAUUACCAUCGGUUUGAAUUCUAUAUCGAGAUGAAGCUGGAGACCACUCUGUCCCAUUCUUCAUUCUGGGAGUCCAACAUUACAAGGACGAGGUCAAAUCUACUGAGGAGAGGGCUGGCCAGGGCGAUGUUCACACUUAGACUCUGUCACAGAACACAAAAAAGAACUGAUACACUCUGAGCAAUAGGGUUGACUACUGAGUGCUUCCAGUCUUACCUGUACCCCUCCGGCUAGUACCAGAGCCACAGCCAGUUUGACCACAUACAGACCAUACACCUGGGGACAUAGACUGGCCAGUAU